rnacentral:rRNA from 1 species
UACGGAGGGUGCAAGCGUUUGUCCGGAUUUAUUGGGUUUAAAGGGUGCGUAGGCGGCUAUUUAAGUCAGUGGUGAAAUACAGCAGCUCAACUGUUGAGGUGCCAUUGAUACUGAAUAGCUUGAGUACAGAUGAGGUAGGCGGAAUUUAUGGUGUAGCGGUGAAAUGCAUAGAUACCAUAAAGAACACCGAUUGCGAAGGCAGCUUACUAGCUGUAACUGACGCUGAGGCACGAAAGCGUGGGGAGCGAACAGG